rnacentral:rRNA from 1 species
GACGAACGCUGGCGGCGUGCUUGACACAUGCAAGUCACGGGGGUCCGCAAGGACAACCGGCGAACGGGUGCGUAACACGUGAGCAACCUGCCUUUGUGUGGGGGAUAGCCGGCCCAACGGCCGGGUAAUACCGCAUACGUUCUUGCUGAGGAGUCUCAGUGAGAGGAAACCUCCGGGGCACAAAGAGGGGCUCGCGGCCUAUCAGCUAGUUGGCGGGGUAAUGGCCCACCAAGGCGACGACGGGUAGCUGGUCUGAGAGGAUGGCCAGCCACAUUGGGACUGAGAGACGGCCCAGACUCCUACGGGAGGCAGCAGUGGGGAAUCUUGCGCAAUGGCCGAAAGGCUGACGCAGCGACGCCGCGUGUGGGAUGAAGCAUUUCGUGUGUAAACCACUGUUGCCCGGGACGAAACCUGCUUUUCGAGGCAGUUGACGGUACCGGGUGAGGAAGCACCGGCUAACUCCGUGCCAGCCGCCGCAGUAAG